UUUUUUGUUCUUUCCCGGAAAAAUUAAACAUAUCUGCGUAUAAAUUAAAUUAAACUUUGCGGCUUUCUUCCGUUGCCUAGCGACAGGCGAACCGGCGAAUGACGAGCCAGAUGUUUGCGUCAUUCGUCAGACACACCGUCGAAGCGAGAGAGACCGGCCGCGCAUCUGAGCGUUGGGCUGUUCGGGUACCCGUCUGCCUGUUUUUCUAUUUUGGUAUUUAGCCUGGUUUGGUGGCCUCCCGGCGAAUUAUUGCGUUCAUUCGGAACUUCGACAUGGCAGCACUGCACUAUUGGACUACGGCAAGCUCACGUCGUCUGGUGGAGCUUCUUGCGGAAACUACUGCUGCUUACCUGGUGCCGCAACGUUGGAUGAAUGCACAAAAAGCCCGCGACGAGCAUUUACAAAGAAUAAAAUAAACGUUAAUUUUUCCUCAUUUCACAA
rnacentral:lncRNA from 1 species